GAAAAAGAUAAGUGACAAAUGUGCCAGUGAGUAGUGCCCAGUGAGAAAUCGUCGCGCAAAAAAAAAUUCAGGUCGGGCUUUAGAUUAAUUACACAAGUGUUAAGUGGUAAUUUGUUGGCAUUUCGGUGUUGCGUAUAAAAAAAAAGUCCACAUGUACGCGUUACCAGUGACGGCAAUUUAGUGGAUGGACCACCCACAAGUAAUCCUUGGACCACGGCAAAGAAGGAGCGCCAUCAGAAAUUACGUAUGGAGCUCGCAUUUGGAUCAUCAUGGAGCGAGGGCGAAAUAUGGUAUAAUAUUUUAAUUAAAUUUUUAUUUAUAUUAAAGUUUAGCAAGAAUUAUCAAUAUCAAUUUGGAAACAAUCAUCUGCCGUAAAAUCAUGGAAUUGCACCAUCAGAAGCAUCAUCAACAUAUGUGCACAACUUGAAUGCUGCCAAGGCGCAGUUUGCUGAAGCACAGAAAAGCUGAUGUGACUACGACCAUCCCAUGUUGAAGCUAUCUGGGAUGCCGCCAGCUGGAAGGAUAUCUUUAAUCACCUCGUUGCCGCUGCUAAGAGAUGUUUGAGUCAUCCAAGCUUUAAUUGACCUAGAGAAAAAUUCGAAUUUGUGGGACGAAUGUUGGGCAAAGCGGUGCUUACUCGUAAAGGAUAAAAUGAAGGAGCUAGAAGUGCAUUCGGUGGUAUAAAUCAACAUUAGGGCGGCACAAAAGGCGGUCGCCCAUGCAUGCGCGAUUCGUAGGAGAAAUUCGCGUGUGCUAUCUAACUUAGAGUAUUGAGAGUAUGACACAUCGCAUCAUCAAACUAAACAACUACAACCAAAACGCGCCGAAAAGAUUCCUUAAAUGAAAACUUUGACAUUGUUAAAAUAGUUGACGAUUUUGAAGUAGUUUAAAAUUUAUUGCCGGAAAAAAUGUAAAAGAAAUAUUUGCUUUC